CCUACGGGUGGCAGCAGUGAGGAAUAUUGGUCAAUGGACGAGAGCCUGAACCAGCCAAGUCGCGUGAAGGAUGACUGCUCUACGGGUUGUAAACUUCUUUUAUAUGGGAGUAAAAUGUUCCACGAGUGGGAUUUUGUAUGUACCAUAUGAAUAAGGAUCGGCUAACUCCGUGCCAGCAGCCGCGGUAAUACGGAGGAUCCGAGCGUUAUCCGGAUUUAUUGGGUUUAAAGGGAGCGUAGGUGGGUUGAUAAGUCAGUUGUGAAAGUUUGCGGCUCAACAGUAAGAUUGCAGUUGAAACUGGAAGUCUUGAGUACAGUAGAGGUAGGCGGAAUUUGUGGUGUAGCGGUGAAAUGCUUAGAUAUCACGAAGAACUCCGAUUGCGAAGGCAGCUCACUGGACUGCAACUGACACUGAGGCUCGAAAGUGUGGGGAUCAAACAGGAUUAGAUACCCUGGUAGUC
rnacentral:rRNA from 1 species